rnacentral:piRNA from 1 species
GUCAAUGAGGAGAGGAAGAUGGACAC